CAAAAGUUGAAUAUGUCUUAUUAUUAAAGAAUUUUUAAAUUUCUUUCUUUCUUAGGAUUAAUAUUUUAAUUUUUUAUAUAUUUUAUAAUCUUUUAUUAUUCUGUAUUUUUUAAAUUUCUUAAAAUACUCUUUGAUUUUAUAUCACAUUCAAAAAUAUAUUUUUUUGUAUGCUGAAACUUUUGAUAGAUAGUGUAUAUAGGUACAUGUGUACACAAUUUCAAACGGAACGUAGUCAUUAGAUAUUCACGAAUCGUAUAUACGACAUAAAACAGAUUGUCAAAAAUCAUAUGAUCAUGUAAUAUGGAAUUAUCAAAAAAUGGUUAUUGCUAUGCCAGUAAGAAGUCUAGAUUAUAUGAUACAAUGUAUGUAUAGUAUUGCAUUACACGAAUAUGCACAGUAAAUAUAUAAUAGUCUCGAAAAUAUCAAAUCUGUAUAACUUUUACAAUCACAUUUAAAAAAACAUAUUUACA